GUGAGGAAUCUUCCACAAUGGGCGAAAGCCUGAUGGAGCAACGCCGCGUGAAGGAUGAAGGUCUUCGGAUUGUAAACUUCUUUUAUGAGUGAAGAAUAUGACGGUAACUCAUGAAUAAGCACCGGCUAACUACGUGCCAGCAGCCGCGGUCAUACGUAGGGUGCAAGCAUUAUCCGGAGUGACUGGGCGUAAAGAGUUGCGUAGGCGGUUAUGUAAGCGAAUAGUGAAACCUGGUGGCUCAACCACACAGACUAUUAUUCGAACUGCAUAACUCGAGAAUGGUAGAGGUAACUGGAAUUUCUUGUGUAGGAGUGAAAUCCGUAGAUAUAAGAAGGAACACCAAUGGCGUAGGCAGUUUACUGGGCCAUUUCUGACGCUAAGGCACGAAAGCGUGGGGAGCGAACCGGAUUAGAUACCCCGGUAGUCC
rnacentral:rRNA from 1 species